UUUUUUUUGAUCUUAAAUUUUUGUUGCAGCAAAGCCAAGUAAUUUUUCCCCUCAUAAAACCUACUCGAAGAAUCAAAUGAUUACAUUGCACAAGGAUGAAACAGAAGUACACAAGGUACACGACGUCCACACAAAAAAUACUGCACUCCGUCAUUACCAACAUCAUAUAAAGCCCUUACCAAGUGGACUAAAAUAGCAGCGCAACAUUUAAGUUCACUGCAAAUAGAUAUAGACAACUAAUCUGUUACACCAGUACGAAGAACAGAAGGCUCAGUACAGAACACAAAGGUAUUAUCUGCCAGGAAACCUAUUAAGAGUCUUGGGGUGUCUCAAAUUUUGUAGGGGUAUCAAUGCCCAUCAUACAGCAAAG
rnacentral:misc_RNA from 1 species